ACAAGAGUGAACCCGUCUCUGUGGCAAAAGAGUGGGAAGACCAUGCAGUAGUGGUGAAAAGCCAAACGAGCCUAGUGAUAGCUGGUUGCUCAACAAACGAAUCUUAGUUCGACUUUAGGCUAACCCCUUAUACCAAAACCCCACUACCACCUAAAAGUUACUCAAUGAAGGUACAACUCCAUUGAGAUGGGAUACAACCCAAAUUAGAGAGAAAGAAAUAUCACCUACCCAGUAGGCCUUAAAGCCGCCACCAAUAAUAAAAGCGUCACAGCACUAGACAACAAAUACCAAAAACACAAUCAACCUCCUAACAAAACAUUGAGCCAAACUAUAUUUAUAGGUGAACUAAUGCUAAAACUAGUAACAAGAAGUAUUCUCUUUUCUCUUAGCACAACUGUAACCCAGAAAUAGAAAAACUACUGGACAUUAACAGGCCAAAAUAGGUGUAACACAAACUGUACCACCAACUGUUAAACCAACACAGGAGUGCCACCAAGACAGAUUGAAAGUUGCAUAAGGAACUCAGCAAAACUUGUCCCAACUGUUUACCAAAAACAUAGCCUUUAGCAAUACAAGUAUUAAAGGUCCCGCCUGCCCAGUG
rnacentral:rRNA from 1 species